rnacentral:lncRNA from 1 species
GGCUGCAGCACAAGAGAGCAUCUCAUGGAGUUGGGAACCCAGAGGGUUCACAAUGAGGGGCCAUCCCACAGAAACAUGGGCCAUCCACCAAGUCUUCCUGCUCCCGGGAGGCCAGGAGCUUGUGGCUUCUCAGGUGGUAGGAUCAAACAGAUGCAGUAAUCACGAGCGUGCACGCCUCCUCAGGAAGCCUCCACAUUCCAGGAGCAGCUCCAAACGCACUGAGUCAUCGCCCCACACCAACAGCUCCUUCCUCGGCAUCUCGCACGUACCUCUCGCAAACCACACGUCCCACACCCACAGCACCUCAUGCUGGCAUAUAUAGACCCUGACCUGCUAACAGUUAUUCUCACUUAUCCCCCUCCCACACGGUCCAAACAACUCCAGCUGCCGAGAAUCCCAGUGCU